rnacentral:rRNA from 1 species
CCCUUAGAUGUCCUGGGCCGCACGCGCGCUACACUGAUGCAUGCAACGAGUAUAUAACCUUGGCCUGAAAGGCCUGGGUAAUCUUUUGAACGUGCAUCGUGAUAGGGAUAGAUUAUUGCAAUUAUUAAUCUUGAACGAGGAAUUCCUAGUAAACGCGAGUCAUCAGCUCGCAUUGAUUACGUCCCUGCCCUUUGUACACACCGCCCGUCGCUACUGCCAACUGAGAUGGGUCCUGAAUUGUUAGGAACGCCCGUCAAGGGGCCUACCCGGUCCCUAGUGCGGUGACGAGAAUAACUGUAAAUGGCAUAUCUUGUAGGGAGUAAAAGUCGUAACA